CUGGCUCAGGACGAACGCUGGCGGCGUGCUUAACACAUGCAAGUCGAGCGGUAAGGCCUUUCGGGGUACACGAGCGGCGAACGGGUGAGUAACACGUGGGUGAUCUGCCCUGCACUUCGGGAUAAGCCUGGGAAACUGGGUCUAAUACCGGAUAUGACCUCCUAUCGCAUGGUGGGUGGUGGAAAGAUUUAUCGGUGCAGGAUGGGCCCGCGGCCUAUCAGCUUGUUGGUGGGGUAAUGGCCUACCAAGGCGACGACGGGUAGCCGACCUGAGAGGGUGACCGGCCACACUGGGACUGAGACACGGCCCAGACUCCUACGGGAGGCAGCAGUGGGGAAUAUUGCACAAUGGGCGAAAGCCUGAUGCAGCGACGCCGCGUGAGGGACGACGGCCUUCGGGUUGUAAACCUCUUUCAGCAGGGACGAAGCGCAAGUGACGGUACCUGCAGAAGAAGCACCGGC
rnacentral:rRNA from 1 species